rnacentral:rRNA from 1 species
CGCCUUGCCAGCCCGCUCAGAAACUUAAAGGAAUUGACGGGGGCCCGCACAAGCGGUGGAGUAUGUGGUUUAAUUCGAUGCAACGCGAAGAACCUUACCUGGUCUUGACAUCCCGGAGACCCUUAGGAAACUAGGGGGUGCUUCCAUCUGGAAGAAUCUGGAGACAGGUGCUGCAUGGCUGUCGUCAGCUCGUGUCGUGAGAUGUUGGGUUAAGUCCCGCAACGAGCGCAACCCUUGCCUUUAGUUGCCAGCAGUUCGGCUGGGCACUCUAAAGGGACUGCCGGUGUUAAACCGGAGGAAGGUGGGGAUGACGUCAAGUCCUCAUGGCCUUUAUCGACCACGGGCUACACAACGUAACUACAAUGGGCCGGCACAGCGGGAAGCGGAGGGGCGACCCUGAGCGGAUCCCUUGAAAGCCGGUCCCAGUUCGGAUUGCAGUCUGCAACUCGACUGCAUGAAGUUGGAAUCGCUAGUAAUCGCGGAUCAGCCAAGCCGCGGUGAAUACGUUCCCGGGCCUU